rnacentral:ncRNA from 2 species
CGAUGAGGUAGAGGUCGCGUUGUUGAUCAGUAGAUCAGGGGAGGUCCAGUAAGACCGACGAUCCCGAUUGAAAGGCAGCAUCGCCGAAGCCGUCCGGUAUUACUGACCGUGGCAGGCUGGGGCCGUCUCCGAAAAGGAACGGAACUGUCAUAUUGCUUUUAAUCAACGGCAAUAUGUUGUGCUAUCUUGAUA